AUGGCAGUUCACCGAGUUCAGAUUCAGAAACACAUUCAUGCUUCUCAUGAAGAACACUGCUGGAUAGUUCAUCAUACUGAAAGCGUGACUGAUCUACUUACCUGGGUCGAUUCCGUCGGUGUUUGGCGAGUGGACGGGCGCGAGAAUCGUGACGCCGCUGAUGGUCACAUUGCUGCUCAACACAGGACACGCCAGCGAGAGAGAGAUGGUGUUUUCUUACGUGCAGUAGGUGGGGUGGAGGUUCCAGGAGGGGGCGUCGACGAAGGUGACGUUGGAGAUGAUGAUGUCGCGGGAGUAGAGGAGCUCGAGCAGGUAGCCGCGCGUGUAGUCGAGCUGCUUGGCGUGGAACUUGUCCCACCACACCUGCCCCUGCCCGUUGAUGGUGCCAUUGUAACCUGCAAACAUGUUUUGGUCAGGUCUCUGCUGCUGCUACCGGUACAGUAG
rnacentral:rRNA from 1 species